rnacentral:tRNA from 1 species
AAAAUAAAGCGAUUAUUUGCAAUCAGUUUCGACCUGAUUUUAGAAAAAAAAAUUUUUUCUAUUUU